GGGGUAGUAGCUCAGUGGUAGAGCGCUUGCCUAGGAAGCGCAAGGCCCUGGGUUCGGUCCCCAGCUCCG
rfam:Rattus norvegicus chromosome 2, whole genome shotgun sequence.